CGUGGGUAACCUGCCUGGUAGCGGGGGGUAACUAUUGGAAACGAUAGCUAAUACCGCAUAACAGUCGACAUUGCAUGAUGUUGAUUUGAAAGGGGCAAUUGCUCCACUACCAGAUGGACCUGCGUUGUAUUAGCUAGUUGGUGAGGUAACGGCUCACCAAGGCGACGAUACAUAGCCGACCUGAGAGGGUGAUCGGCCACACUGGGACUGAGACACGGCCCAG
rnacentral:rRNA from 1 species